CCUCUGCACCCAGACGGGCUGGGCAUGGAUCCUGCACAGCAGAAACAGCACAGUAGCUCAUGGAGACUGCAGGGAUCUGUCCAUGGGAAAGCUCUGGGCAGGUUGGGCACAGCCAUGGCAUCACCUCCAGCUCCUGGUUCAGUCUCUGAGGCUGGUGCAAGUACAGACACAGUGUCCUACAGCACAGCUGUGCUAGUCCUGGCUGGGGAGUCCAGGAGGGUGAGGGAAUGGAUAUGAAACCAUUGAACAUCCCUUUGCCCGCCCAUCCGUAGAAUCACAGGAUAGUUUGGGUGGGAAGAGACCUUAACACUCAUUCCACUCUCUUGCCAUGGGCAGGAACACCUUCCACUAUCCCAGGCUGCUCCAAGCCCUGUCCAACCUGGUCUUGGACACUUUCAGGGAUGGGGCAGCCACAGCUUCUCUGGGCAACUGUGCCAGGGCCUCACCACCCUCACAGCCAACAAUUUCUUCCCAAUACCUAAUGCAAAUCUCCCCCUUUUCAGUUUAAAGCCAUUCCCCCUUGUCCUGUCCCUCCAGGCCCUUGUCCAAAGUCCCUCUACAGCUCUUUUGGAACGCCCUUCGGCCCUGGAAGGGGCCCUCAGGUCUCCCGGGAGCCUUCUCUUCUCCAGGUGAACACCCCCAGCUGUCCCAGCCUGGCUCCAGAGCAGAGGGGCUCCAGCUCUUGGAGCAUCUCCGUGGCCUCCUCUGGACUCGCUCCAGCAGUUCCAUGUCCUUCCUGUGCAGGGACCCCCGAGCUGGAGGCAGCUCUGCAGAGUGGAGCAGAGGGGCAGAAUCCUCUCCCUUGCCCUGCCAGCCAUGGGGACGUAGCCAGGAUACAGCGGGCUUUCUGGGAUGCGAGUGCAUCCGUCCAUCCGUCCGUCCAUCCAUCCAUCUACCCCAGCUCGGGAGAAGAGCUGGGAGAAGCCGCUGCGGGAUCUUCUGGGACAGGCGAACGAGUGAAUUCACCCUGGGGAUGGAGCCCGUGAACGGUUCCCCCUCCUU
rnacentral:lncRNA from 1 species